rnacentral:misc_RNA from 1 species
UCCGAUUUGUCACCGACAGUCUCCCUAGAGUCCCCGACAUAACUCGCUGGCAACUAGGGACAGGGGUUGCGCUCGUUACGAGACUUAACCCAACAUCUCACGACACGAGCUGACGACAGCCAUGCACCACCUGUGAAAGUGCCCCGAAGGGAGACCGUGUUUCCACGGUUGUCACUCACAUGUCAAGCCCAGGUAAGGUUCUUCGCGUUGCGUCGAAUUGAACCACAUGCUCCGCUGCUUGUGCGGGUCCCCGUCAAUUCCUUUGAGUUUUAGCCUUGCGGCCGUACUCCCCAGGCGGGGCACUUAGUGCGUUAGCGACGGCACGGGAGGAGUCGACACCUCCCACACCUAGUGCCCAUCGUUUACGGCGUGGACUAC